rnacentral:ncRNA from 1 species
GUAGCCCUUCGUUUCACGAACGCCCAAGUUCCACUUGGGACGCUAUGUAGUGAACGCGGGGCCUU